UGCUUUAUAGCUCAAUGGUGGAGCAACGAUCUCAUAAGUCGGAGGAUGCAGGUUCAAUUCCUGCUAAAGCAA
rnacentral:tRNA from 1 species